rnacentral:lncRNA from 1 species
UUCUAGUCUUGGCUUUUUUCUAGUUUGCUACAUGAAAAAUGGGCAAAUCACUUCAUCUUUCCACUUUAACUUAGACCUCAGUUUCCCCAUCUGCAUCAUAAAGAGAAUUCCUCUUUUGAGAAGUUGAAUGGGGAUGGGAUGAGGAUACAUAAGAUCCUAUUUCUGCAAAGAUUUUGGAGAUGAGCUAUUAACUACAUAUGAGUAUACACAGCAUGCACCUGCUCUGCCUCUCACAUCCCUGUGUUCCAUUAUCCACUGAAGAUGUCAAGACUGACAGGCGAGAGCCAGACCUCAGGCCAGCUCCCCCUGACAGGACUCUCCUGAUGGCAGCAUCUGGACUGAGAGGAUGUUGGUGGAGAAGCUGCAUCAGCUUACAGAACAACAAACAAUUAGCACAGAAUGGAACACCAUCCUUGGUAGUUGCUCAACAUAGUCAAACUGGUAGCUGCGCAAUGGGUCAUGAAGAGUAACCAAUCCUGUUCCUCUGCCCAGUUGUUAGAGAAGCAAGAUGGGGAAGACCUGUUCUUGAACCAAUCAAGUAUCUCCCUUCUUUGUUCAUAAGCUAACUGCUCCCAGGGAUUCAAUUCUUCUCCAUUUGAGGCUUUAUUUGGGAGACAUUGUUUUAAUACAGUCACUCACGCACUUUUAUCCUUGGCAAGACUUUUUUUUCCUCUAAUAGAGGAGCAGAAGGAAGGGGGU